rnacentral:tRNA from 1 species
GGGGGAGUGGCGGAAUGGCAGACGCCGAGGACUUAAAAUCCUCUGCUCCUUUCGGAGCGUGUGGGUUCGAGUCCCACCUCCCCUACCA